AACAGGAGCCUCUCUCUGCCCCAGAGGGUACUGCCCGCAGAGGGAAGGACCUGGUUUCCCCCAGGGCCCAGAUUUGACCUCAAGUUAGGAGGGCACAAAACUAAGAAAGACUCCGGAUGUGAAAUAAUUAGCCCUGGGCUUGGUAGGAUUGCAGAGGUCUAGGAGUAAUCACAUGCCACUCGGCCCUGGAGCACUUACAUCCCCCACUGUACCUGUGCCCUUCUGGGCCCAGCGGUCACCUGCCCACCCUGCGGGGCUGCAGAGACUCGGGGGCUGCGGGCCAACUGCACUUUAGAAUGUACCAAACACUGUCCAGUAUGUGGGCUGGUUUCUUACUUCUGUGUCUCCAAACUUAGGUCCCUUUGCUGGUGCCAGGACUCAACUACCCCCUGGAGACCUUUGUGGAGAGUCUCAGUGACAAGGGCAUCUCAGACAUUAUCAAGGUGCUGGUGCUCCGAGAAGGCCAGAGCGCGCCCCUGCUGAGUGCCCACAUCAACAUGCCCGUGAGUGAGGGGCUGGCAGCUGCCUGAGUCCCCAGUAGAGCCAGGAAGGUCCGGCGACUUCCUCUGAACUGUGCAGGUUCAGCGCCCUGGCCAGCUCCUCUCGCAGCAAUGUGUGGAGGCAACAGCUCCCUGCUCUGUCCUGAGCACCCCCUUUCCGCUGUGCCCACGCUGGGCCUGUGGCAGUAGGCCCGUGAGUGCCCGGGAGGUUCAGCUCCUCCUCCCUCAGGAACAGCCCAGGCAUCAUCUGUCCUGCUGAGCUCCUGCUGCCCCUCAACCCUCCUGGGCUUUUUCCAGAAACCACACCCAGGCUCCAAGGAAGAGCUCUGAAGGGUCAAAGUGAGUUCAGGACAGGCCUGGCCCUUCUCCUUUGCUACUUCCCAUAGGCAAAUUACUCAUCUUCAGCUGCAGGUCAAGGCCAAAAUUGGGCCAGGGCCCAACCUGGGAAAUGAGAGGCUCUUCUAGGGUGAGACUGAGCUGCCUCCUGCUCCUUGAAGCUCCAGAGACUCAGCCGCAGGCAAAACACAUGCUCUGAUCUCCCCUCCCUGCUGAGCGAGGGGCUCUUCUUUCCACUCAGCAGGCCCAGGGAAUGGCUGCCUCCCCACAGGGGACUUCUCUGAAGCCUUGGGGACUCAACCAGUCUCAGGCCAUGAUGCUCCACAAAGGUUGCCAAGGGAGGAGGUGGCACAGAAAGGCAGAGGGUGUCCCUUCGGGGAGCGAGUGGCUCCAGCCCCCGCUAGAGCCCCUAAGGACCACACGGCAGCUGCCGCUGACUUGAAUGCUCAUGCCCAGAAUGAGCGCCCUGGGAGAGGAAGGCUACACUGGACAGGGAACAGAGGGGGCACCAGGGGCACCCAGGAGAGACAUUUCUGGGGCCAUGGGGAGGUGACUUGAGGAAGCCCAGAACUGCCAAUCAAGAGGCCCUGGUGCCCAAAUCAGCCACGUGGGUGGAAAGUUCACUGUGUAGUAACCACGCUGUGAGAGAAUUAGCUGGAAAGGCACAGACCAGAGGCAUGGCAUGAAGUUAAGGACUGAAUGAAGGCACGAGUUUAGCCCACAAGGACCAAGACCCACAGUACUUGAUGCCUCUUGAGCCCCAGGCCAGUCUGCCUGGCCCUCCCCACAGGCCACCUUGAGCUACUUGUGAGCCAGGAGCCCUGCUCCCAGAGGACCUACAUCUUCCUCUGUCGGAUCAGAUGUGGCCUAGAGUGUGUCCCAGAGCUCAGCCUUUGGGAAGUAACCAAGUCCCUCUGGGCAUCAGUUUUCCCACAUGAAAAAUAAGGCAGUUCGGCCAGAUUGUUUCUUAAACCCUUUCAGUCCUGACACCCUGUGCUCAUGGCAGCCCCUCUGCAGGGUCGAGGAGUUGCUCCAGAGAGGGAGUGCUUGAUGAAAGCAAGUGCAGGGAUUUUGACUGCCACUGCCAGCAGCAGCCUGUGUGCCCAAGACACAAGGCUUAGGGUGACAGCCCACAGCCCACCUCUGUCCCUCCCAAGGGAUGUAUCUGCGGCCAGGUUAAAAGCAGCAAGGGAUUGGGAUCAAAGAAAGAGGCUGUCCCCCUCCUCUCUGCCCUCCCAGCCACUUGCAGACACAGACCAGCGGGGUCGGGACGGCAGAGGGUUUGCAGACCGAGCCGGCUGAGGUGUGGCUGGAACAGGCAGGAGUUACAACCUGGGCACAGAAAGGCGAGGGCGGAAGGAGGGUGCUGCCAGUCAGGGACUGCAGCGUGGCCUGGAGAACUUGGAGAUGGAAGGGCCUGCCCUAGAAGGUGAUGGGCAUCUUGUCACUGGAGCUGUACGAGUGGGGGCAGGGUCGUGGGUUAGGCCACAUGACAUUACAGUCCCUUCACCCCAGUCAAGCUAUGAACUGCAUUAACUGAGAACAAAAAGUCUGAUCUGUGUUCCCUUCAUGGCUAUUCAUGAUGAUGAGAGGGGGGACCACGCCCAGGACCUGUUGUAAGUUUGCGUGUUAUACCAUGUAGCUGUUAGUAAGACAUGCAAGGCCUGCGCCAUGUGGACAGCACAUACGGCCACAAGAAGCAAGUAACGGUGCAGGGUACCCAGUGCACACACCAGAGACAGCGCCAGGAAAUCGUGUACAUUAGCGAUAAGGAGAGUUGGGAUCUUUUAAAAAAGUACUUAAAAAUAUGCACCUAGUAAAUAAUGUGGAAUUAGACAGUUUAUAACAGGAAAACAGCCUCUCAUUCCCUAUUCUGCUCCCCUGCAAUAGUCACUUUCAGUUCUUUUAGCUAUUUAUUUUUGAAAUUGGCUUGCACUGCUCUUGCUAGACUUAUCAGUCUCAGACAUUAUCUGUUGGCUCCCUAUGGUAACAGAUGAGGCUUUAGCUCUCUGUGACAGCACCCCUCCCCCAUCCCCAGGUUUUAGGUAAAUCUAUACUCAUUGUUUAGAUUGUUAUUUGUAUUACUGUGUGAAGGCUAGUCACUGCAGAGCCAAGAAUUGGGCUACAAUUAAAUUACCUCCUUUGUACGUUAUUUUUCAUGGAGUUAAUAAUUGCUCUGAUUUUUUCAUUUGUUUGGUUUUCUAAUAUGCCAAUUGCUGAUUCAUUCCCCA